UGAUUUGAUUUUGAUAAGAAUGUAAGAUUGAUGCUUUUCUCCCUUAGCGCUUUUGUUUUCAAUACGUUUUACUUCUAAAAUCGGCGUUCGAGCAUGGAUAAAUGUUAUGUAAUUAUUUUAUGUUUACUAUGCAACAUUGCGUCAUAUUCGACUAUACGGUAUCUAUAUGGAUAGUAAUACGAUACUUUUCAUCGUGCCAACAAAUACAUUAACCAUGUAUUCACUAAUUUAAAUACAUAUAUGAGUGUGAAAUGAAUAACCGAAUAAUAUAUAUGUUUAUAGUAUUUUGUGCAGCAUUUAUUGUUGCAUACAUAUGUUUGAAACAAAACGCAAAAGCGCAAUGGGAUGUGAGGGGUUUUAUGAACACUCAAAGGGACUUGAUAUUUGGAAAAGUAACGAAUUGUACGUAUACAUCACUAGCUUGCAAUCGCGAAUCCCAGAACGUUGUUUGUAAUAUGACAUGUUUUGAGAUAUUCUGGCUGAAAUACGAAGAACAGAGGGAACGGAAAUUUACUGAAAAACUAAGUAAAUCAAUCAAUAACAAAUCGGACAGUAACGUUGAGUGUAAAAACAAAUCUUGCGAUACAAACAUUCCAUUCACUAAACGGAAGAGGGAGAACACAAAUUCUGAAACGCAUCCAGUGUGCAACGUUGCUUGUAGAAACAGUCCUUGUAACACCUAUAUUUCCUCCAAAGGCCCUCAAGGUAGGGCUGGAAACCUUAUGUUUGAAAUAGCGGCCUUGAUCGGAGUUGCAAAAAGACGAGGUUUAACGCCUCAGUCGCGGUACAAUCAUUACAUAUUUAGAUGGUUUGAAAUGCCGCGGAUUUACGUAAACGUGUCUGCAGUUAACGAAAAAAACUUCGCUGAAAUAAAGUAUGGUACCUAUCAGAAAGCAGUGGAGUCUUUAGAUCGUUGUCAGAAUUGGACGCUAGGUGGUUAUCGUAGUAGCUGGAAAUAUUUUGACAAUGCGAAGGAUGAAGUGCGAAAAAUAUUUACUUUGAAAGCUGAAUUCACCGACAAAGCAAACGCAUUCCUGCAAAACAUAUCAUCACCAGGCGCAGUUAAUGUGUGUGUGCACGUUCGAAGAGGCGAUAUGACAAUUGAUGCUAACGUCAAACGAGGUUAUGUUCCGUCGGACGCAACAUACCUAAAUAGAUCUAUGGACUACUUCAGAAAAAAGCUACGAAAGAAGACAGUCCACUUUGUUGUCCUCAGCAAUGGUAUGGAAUGGUGCAAAAACAAUACGUCAGGACCCGACGUGUUUUACUCCCCUUUUAAAGAAGCUGUUCUAGACUUUGCACUCAUGGUUUGUUGUGAUCACGUAAUUAUAACCAUCGGGACAUUUGGUUGGUGGGGAGCUUGGCUUUCUGGUGGAAUAACCGUGUAUGACACCUCGUGGCCAACAAAAUAUACAUUUGUUGGUAAAGGCUUAAACAGAAGUGAUUAUUAUCCAAAACACUGGAUAGGUCUAUAAAUUUGUUAAACAGUUGUGAGUACGUCGAAUGUGAAGCAUAGAAAUGUAUUUAUAAUAUAUUACGAUCGUAAAUACUCGAUAAUCGAUUAAAAAACUCAGAAAUUGAAGGAAAUAACUUUUAGCCAAAACAACUUUUUUCUCUUACAUCGUAAUAGUAUCUUUUAUCAUAAAAUACUAUUACUAUUUUUCACUGAAAAAUGGCAAUAAGGCAUAAUCUUCUUGUUUACAUUUUAUAAAAUUAUCUCCAUUAAUGCUACAUUCGUAGUUGCAUCGCAUAUUGAUCGGGAUAUAAUUAUUUUAAAGCACCCUUAAAUAAUUCGGGUUCGUUUUCAUCACGUUAUCACGCCAUUCUGUUAUUAGUCGAUCCUUUUCUUUGAAAUCAUGUAUUUCUGAUUCGUCAAUUAUAUAAAUUUCUUGCUUCUAACAACAUUUUUAAAAUUUCUUCUGGCAUGUGUCAUAUCUAUAAAUGUGCACAAUAACUAUUUCUGUAAUACGAAUGUUUUCAAUAUGAGUUGCAAAAAUCUAAUUUAUAGUCCUAUUUGAAAAUGUGUAAAGAAUAUCUUUAACAUCUUUAAUGUUUACUAUUUAAGAUUCAUGUUAUCUUUAAACCGACUUUGGCUGGCUCGGAGUGUUUUUGCACGUGACGUCAUUUUCUUCAAAGAUUUUACAUAGGUAAUCAUUUGGAAGAAAAGAUUAGCUUAUAUAUGUCGCUUUUAUUUUUAAUAAUGUUUUCUUUAUUUGUUCCCAGUUUUAGUACAAUGAUGUUUUUUUAUUAUGAAACUCUAUGAUCACACAUUUUUAAACCUUUUAGUUUAUAAGGCAGACUGUGUGUGAUGCUCAUACUUUCAAACAAUGACUGCAUCGUAUCUUUGAAAAGUGUUUGCAUUAGGUGCUCUGAAUUGUAUAUAUCCGUCUGCAAUAAGAGUUGGGAUAUCUAAUCAUAGAAGUACUUGGGGUUUACCUAUAUAUUUAUUAUUAUUUGUUUGAUUAUUAAGUUUCCUCAAGUUAAUGCAUAAUUUGAUAAGAUUAACCGUUUACUUUUUAUCUUUAUUUAGGAUUGUUGGGAUAAGAGUGAGGUUUAUGCACUUAAACUGGUUUAAACCCCCAGUAAAUUGACAUUUACUGACCGUUCCAAGGCGGUACCUUACAAUCCUUGAUAAAUGCACCUAUUUUUUUAAAAAUAUGCACAGAAAAUGAAAGAAUCCCUUUUUUAAACGAAACUAUGGCAAAAACUAGAAAAUGAAAUGUUUAAGAAACACCUUGAAAACUGAUAACGUUCAACCAUUUAUUUUAUUACUUUAUUCGGGAUUGUUGGUAUACGAAUGAGGUUGUGCACACAAACUGGUUUAAACCCAUAGUUAAUUAAUAUUUUACUGACCGUUCCAAGGCGGUACCUAACAAUCCUUGAUAAACAUACCUAGUUUUAUAUAUAGAGUAAGUAUGUACUGUGCUGUUUGUGGAGUUUUGUGCUGUUCUUCCAUGUUUCAUGAACCAGUGCCAUCAAACCGGGUUUAUGGUUGAACUUUUUGCUACUGAGCUUGUUUCUGUAGUUUUUCGAAUAUACAUUGUAUAAUACUUUGUUUGUAGGUUAAAGAAAACGUUAGUAGAUGCAAGUGUAAAUUAACAGAACACGUAAUUGAUGUUUUUUCAGAAGGAAGUUAGAUUAAGAAGACAGUUACAAAGGUGACAUUUUUGAAUAUCUAUGAAAUGUGUUAAGCUUAGGAGGCUUAAGAAGCUUAUUUCAAUUAGUCAAAAUUACAUACAAAUUCCAAAUCUUUAAGAACAGCAUACAUAGAUAGACUCUCCACACGCUUCAUGUCACGAUGUUAAAAUUUGCACUUACAUUUAAUUUCUCUCUCUCUCUCUCUCUAUAUAUAUAUAUAUAUAUAUAUAUAUAUAUAUAUUUACAUUCACACUUCAUUCCUUAACGAUGGUUUUUGUUUAUCAAUUGCACUUUAUUUCUGUAUAAAGUGCAAUGGCAUUUCCCAUGGAUAUCGCGUGCGUUUAUUCGAUACUUCUGUCCUGUCAUUGGGCGCAAUAAUACAAAUGGGCGGAGCUUAUUUACUACGGAACUAUUUUUUCAAUGAAAUCGUAGUAAAAUUAUUGACAACCUGUCAAAAUAAGGCAGACGACGAAAACUUCAGUAAACAAGGGAAAACAAAAUGAGCAACGAUAAUUUAAUUGAUUUUAAUCUAUAUUUUAAUUUCAUGAUGGAUGGAUCAUUUGUAGAACUAUUAUAUGACAAUGAUGAUGACUUAUUUCGGGAUUUGGAAUUAACAUUUAGUAAUUGUAAAGCAUCUGACAAUUCAACAAAAUAUGAAAUCAAGGAAUUGAAACAAGAACAGAAGGAAGAAGGAGAACUGAAGGAAGAACAAGAAGAUUGUACCAGGUUUAGAAGGGUUGGCGAGGAAGACAUAAAGGUUUUUGAAGGGUCUCACCAGUCAAAGAGAACAAGAGAAAACACAAAAUGGGCAGUAAAGGUAUUUCAAGAUUGGCAUAGAUCUAGGUAUGCUGGGCCUCUAAACACAUCUACUGUCUCAGAAGAGUUACUUGGCCAGAUUUUGGGCAAGUUCCACUGCGAAGUCGCACCGCAGCCAUCAGAAAGGCGCUUAAAGGCUUUCGGAGCUUGGUCUUAGGUGUACCACAAGAAUAGUAUGAAGAACAUACGAUCUGGUCUGAACAGACAUCUGACCGACCUUGGCCGCAACAUGGACAUUGUUCAUGGCACAUCAUUUAAGGUUGCAAAUCGCACACUUGAUGGCUUCAUGAAGAAACAAACUAAGGCCGGACUUUCCCGACCCACACAUCACAAGCCUAUCAUCGAGCAAAGCGACCUUGAAACCAUUUCCAGGUUCUUCGCCAAUGCUCCAUGCUCUCCAAUUAUUCUUCGACAGUGUGUAUGGUUCCAACUUGCUCUCCACUUCGUGUCACGCGGCCUUGAAUUUCAUCACCAGCUUCAAAUCGACUCCUUUGAGUUUACUGCAGACCAUGAUGGAAUUGAGUAUGUCACCCUGAAGCACGAGACGCAGAAAAAAAUAUUCCAGGGUGGGCUUACCAAGGAUGAGGCUCCAUCAGACCGUAGAAUGUAUACGACAGGUGGCCCAUGUUGUCUUGUAGCAAUGUUAAAGUUACUCAUCAAUAAAACCGACAAAUCGGCGCCUAUGCUGUUUAAUGCCUGCUUCAAGGAUGCCAUCGCAAGACCUGAGGCAAAUGACAUUUGGUUCACCAAUGCGCCUCUGUCAAAGCGGUCGUACAGCAGUUUCAUGGCUGACAUUUGCAAAGCAAGCAAAAUAACAGGUUGGUACACCGCGCACAGUGUCAGGGCCACAGCUAUCCAAGCAAUGAACGACAGUGGCUUUGAAGCUCGUCAUAUUAUGUUCAUGUCCGGGCACAGGAAUGAGGCAUCAUUAAAGUCGUAUUGCAGGGCACCCAGCGACGUCCAGAAAAAAGAGCUCAGUUCAACACUGAGUCUUCUCGCGUCCUCUGGCUCUACUUCCGCAAACAUUCCCAUUGAUAAACACGUUACCCCACCCACCGCCACAGGCUUUUCAUCCGAUGUUAAAGUCCAGAGAAAUGAAAAUACACUUGCAGAUUUGUCUAACACCAUAUUUCAACAUAGUUCUUUCGCCAACUGCUUCUUUAACAUAACGCUAAACAAGUAAUUUACUGGAAUUUAUCUUAAAGUUGACAAGUCGUGUUUAACAAAUACGUUGGGUCGCGUUUAUCGCGAGAUAUGAUGAGAACUUUGCAUGUGGCGAUAUUUUUGUUGUUUUCUUGUUAUUGUAAAUGUUCCUUACUCCAGUUGUAUUUUCCUAGUUGUAAAACAGUUAUAAUGUGUAUUUAUAAUAUACUUGUCCUUGAAAAUAUAAAAACUGAACCUAUAAAUAAGGAACUAUUCUAUCUGCGCAUUCAUUGUUUUAUGACAUUCGGUUGAACAGCAGCUGUU